UACGUAGGGGGCAAGCGUUGUCCGGAAUCAUUGGGCGUAAAGCGCGCGUAGGCGGCCCGGUAAGUCCGCUCUGAAAGUCCAGGGCUCAACCCUGGAAAGCGGGUGGAUACUGCCGGGCUAGAAUCCGGAAGAGGCGAGUGGAAUUCCUCGUGUAGCGGUGAAAUGCGCAGAUAUCAGGAAGAACACCCGUGGCGAAGGCGGCUCUCUGGGACGGUACUGACGCUGAGACGCGAAAGCGUGGGGAGCGAACAGG
rnacentral:rRNA from 1 species